UACGUAGGGGGCAAGCGUUGUCCGGAAUCAUUGGGCGUAAAGCGCGUGUAGGCGGCUGGCUAAGUCCGCUCUGAAAGCCCGGGGCUCAACCCCGGGAGGCGGGUGGAUACUGGUCAGCUCGAGUCCGGAAGAGGGAGUGUGGAAUUCCUGGUGUAGCGGUGAAAUGCGCAGAUAUCAGGAGGAACACCAAUGGCGAAGGCAGCACUCUGGGACGGUACUGACGCUGAGACGCGAAAGCGUGGGGAGCAAACAGG
rnacentral:rRNA from 1 species